rnacentral:rRNA from 1 species
UAAGGCGCGCAAUCCUAAGCGGGGGCGACUUCCUUCCGGAGCAGACCCUCAGACCAGACCUGAGGCAGGCAUCCGCCGCUCCCGCACGCUUGUCCCUUCCGUUGGCGGCGCGGCGGAGAGGCAGGAGCCGAGGGGACGGCGGCGCCGGAGAGGCACGGGAAGAGAGGGGGCGCCCGCGGAGGGGAGGAGCAUCGGAGGGACGGCGGUGGCGGUGGCGGUGGCUGAUGCCUAAGGCGCGCAGGGGGCUGUGGCGGCGGGAUGGGUGAGGCACGAAGAGGCGGCGACGGGGGGAGGAGAGGAGGGUCAGGAGAUGGAGGCGCGGCGUCCGUUGGCGCCGGAGAAGUUCCUCCCCGGUUUUCCAAGUAGGAGCGGCAGUGGCCCCUUCGUGGAAGCACCGCAGUGGUCCAGUUUUGUCGAAGGACCUCCGGUGUUUCCCCCAAACCUGUACUAACUGCUACUCCGAUUGAAACCGCUGUAGUGACUACGGGGACGUCUUCGCCUUCGACGACAUUUCAAAGUAGGAUUAUUCGACGCCCCGUUCGAAGCCUUCUUUAGACACGGUAGUGCUAGACAACAUGGGUUAGUAUGUCACCUUUGUUCACUACUCUUCCGACAUCGAAAUUCAGUUCUAUUAAACAGAGUUCCUGAGUGAUGCUUAGUUCUUUAUUGUAGAAGCUGGCAAGAACCAUCACUUUGCUAACCACCACGCCUUCGAACACCCCCGUGAGAAAUGUGUGGAAGACUACUACACGACUGUCAAAGAAGACAUCUAUCCCAAAGUGUUCUACUGCUAGGAGUACUACUAGGUAGACUUCAUCGAUGCGAGGUUCUUUUGAACCAACAAAGUCUAUGGGUUCGUAGUAGGUGGGUAGGUUGAUCGUUCUGUCAACUGCUAAAUCGACUGAAACCCCUUGAUAAACUGUGUGUAAGACUUCUCCUUUUGCAACGUUUCAGGUUCGAUUUUUAAUUCCACUUUGAGUCGUUCCGUCGUAGGUUCAGGGCUUUCUGACCGGUUUUCUUCCGUCGAAGUUGACAUCUGCACCAGAGUGUUUUAUUUCUCCUACCAUUGCUACUAGAGUCUCCUACGUUGCUACUCGUCCAUGUUCGAGGAUCUGUACUUCUUGUACAUGUCUGGAGUCUAAGAGUCGGUGGGAACCCUUGACUACUACCAUGUCAACUGUUAAAGCAAUUGGUGUUGGCGUAGGAACUUCUCGGACCAGGUCUCCUUUGACGACGUUUCAAUGCGGGAUUUAGUGUUUCUUUUGGACCGUCCCGAAGUAGGUUCCGACAACCCUGAUCACUACUAGUACGUCUUCGAUUAGAUUUCCUAUAGUUACGAUCACAACUAUAUCUGAGACUUCUACCCGACUAUUUAGGAGUAUGACUACUAUGAGUUGGCUAGAAACCUCUUGGGAGUCGACUUCGACGACGAUGUAAAGAUGAACUAGAACCUUUCUUUUUCCCGUUUCCGUUUAGUCAUUGUAAACAAGAUGGUCUACUAAUACUCCCCCAGCGACGUUGUCUAUGGUUGGUAUUACUGUAUGUGAGACUACUUUUAAACUUGUGGAACGGAGUCGUUCGUGGAGUUUUCGUAACAGAAUGACUUCUUGUAAGUCUGCUAGUCCUUAUAUGACUAUCCCUCUCGGUCAUGGUACUCCCCCUCGCUAGUCUAGUACCACAACUUGUUGUUAGGUUUAACCUACAACCUUUUGUUCUUAAUAGUUACUUCAAUUCUUCGUCCUGUCUCUAAGUCUUUCAACCCAAUAGACUCGUAUAACAACUACUAGUAGAACUACUUCUAAAACAACUUGGAAGUCGUUGGCUUGUUUUAUUACUAUCACCGCUGCUCUUGUGACGACCUCCUUUCGUCUUCCGUGGCUCUUUCAGUUCCUUCUUUCUAGGUUUAUUUCUUGGAAACUCCCCAAGGUUCGCGUGGAGCUGUUUUAGGUGAAGUCUUUUUAGUGUCGGCUUGGUCGUCUUUUUAUUUUCACUUCAUAGAAGUGCGCCAGCAUUCUCUCGGAACUUCCUAUGUUACUGUCUUGUCGGACUCUUCUUCGAAUGAGUGUCUUAAGCAGUUUUUUCUCGAGUUCUUCACGUUUGCAAUGAAGUUUUUGGACUAGUACUCUAUCUAGCGUACUUCGAUUCACACUGCGUAGAGUCCAACAAUGUUCUCCGGUCUCUCGCAUAAGUCUCAUUUUGUGGCAGUCCUGGUAGUAGGAGAUUAGUUUCGUCGAGGGUAAAACCUCUAUGACUGCUAAAACUAGGAAAACCUCUAUUGAUACUGUUACUGUCUUGUCUCUUAGUACGUGAUCUUUUACGAUGAUUUGACUUAAUGGUAAGAAUAUACCUGUUUUUCUGUGCCCGGUUUACCUGUUUUAGACUGUGACUGAACAAAAUGGUCCCAGAAGCUGUUAAACCAUCGCUAAAACGUUACUAUGUCGUUGAUAAGGGUCUAUUCAGGGCGCUAGUCCAUGCCGUUUUCAAAUUUUCACUCCUGUUUUUCGUAGGUUACGUUCAGGUGCUACGAUAUGAAGUAGCGAGGUCUCUAUUGAACAUAAAUUUUGUUCAUUACUUUGUCGAGUUGUAACUUCUAAGCGAGUUUCUGUAGUUGUCAUGUGUUUUUGUUCUCCAACGCAGUUGACUUCCCUUGUGACCUUUACUACAAUAAAGACUUUGAUUGUAGUCACAACUCUUGCAAAGCUUAAACAGUCUACUUCUCUACCCGUGCGAGGUUAGACUCCAGUUUCUUCCCCUCCUACAACGUCGACCUUUACGACUACUACAACUGGACCUACAAAAACUAACCAUGAUCGUGCUAUCAGUGCGACUUUUAGUCCGUCUUUAAUAAAUCCUAGAGUGCCAAGACGGUUGGGACACUCGGUUCCUGUACAAGAUACAGCUUGCCCUAACCGCUCAAUCACUACGCUCUAUGCCUACGUCUAUCAUGCCAACCACGUCUCGACUACCGCCGAGAGUGAAACAAAGAUCAAAAGACUUAUUUUCUUCAACACCGAACAAGUCUUUCCAUAUAUACACGGAUAGUUUACUUAACGGGCUGUGUGAGCGAAACAUUAUAACGUAGAAGAAUGUCCGAGAGUUUUACAUAUCUCACGUCUACUCGUAAAGUGACAAGAAAAACUUCCUAUGAAAAUGUCGGUCGUGUUUCAUAGGUUUUCCC